UACAGAGGUGGCAAGCGUUGUUCGGAAUUACUGGGCGUAAAGGGCGCGUAGGCGGCCUUCUAAGUCAGACGUGAAAUCCCCCGGCUUAACCUGGGAACUGCGUCUGAUACUGGGGGGCUUGAGUAUGGGAGAGGGAUGUAGAAUUCCAGGUGUAGCGGUGAAAUGCGUAGAUAUCAGGAGGAACACCGGUGGCGAAGGCGGAUCUCUGGGCCGUAACUGACGCUGAGGAGCGAAAGCAUGGGGAGCGAACAGG
rnacentral:rRNA from 1 species